rnacentral:rRNA from 1 species
UACAUGGGGUGCAAACGUUGCUCGGAAUUAUUGGGCGUAAAGCGCACGUAGGCGGUUCGUUAAGUCAGAUGUGAAAGCCCCCGGCUCAACCGUGGAAGUGCCUUUGAUACUGCGGGCCUGGAGGGAGGUAGGGGCGUGCGGAACUUCCGGUGGAGCGGUGAAAUGCGUAGAUAUCGGAAGGAACACCGGUGGCGAAAGCGGCGCGCUGGACCUCUUCUGACGCUGAGGCGCGAAAGCCAGGGGAGCAAACGGG